UUUUACACCGGAUGCCAGACGCAACCCUCUCUAUUUAUCCGGGCUUGGGACCAACACAGAAGUCACUGGCUUGAAACCCCUGCGGCUAGAUUACUUCAGUUACCUUGUAGCAACAUUGAUUAUUACUUUAUUAGAUAUUCUUUUAUCUUGCUCUUUAACAUCAGAGAAAACAAGACUUUUUCUUUGGAAAAGUUUCAGUUGUGAUCUGAUCAAAUCUAAUAUUAAAAUUCAUUGAACGUUUAAUAGAACUUGGGAAGGAUCUGAGUGUUGGGGACAACACAGGAUGGAUUCCUCUGCCAGUACCCAGCAGCAGAAAUUAGAACAAGACACAACAGCACUAGAGCGUGGACACCCAAACCGAACCCAACCGGACCCGUUGGUGUCUGAGAUUCAGACACGUGGGUCGAACUUUAGGCUAGAGCGCUCAGACGUCUGCUUUGUCUAAUGAUAAGGGGGAAAGCACUGUACAGACUUGGCUGCGUUGGGCUCACGUUCUGUUCGGACAUUAUAUAGUAUAAGCUUGUCGUGUCCGGGUCAGGUUCAGAUGCCACACUCUCAGGCAUGGGUCGGGUUUGGACAGAAAUACGUGGCCUGAUCCCUGCUCUAAACAGGACAUAUUACACAAAUUAGUCUCAGGUUUUUAUGUUAAAUGUUAAAAAAACAUAAAACAGAAUGAAACAAACACACAGAACAAAUGUUUUUACCAAAAUGUGGAACUGCUCCUUUAAUGUGCAUAAUUCAGAGUCCUGGUAAACCACAGAGACAAACUCUGGAGCAACACGUCCCUCAGCACACCAGAUCUGGAGAUACCAGAGAAACCAGUAAACUGAAGUGGGGUCAGUUCCUGUGGCAUGGCUCUGAAGCCAUGUGACAGAUUUACUCUGACCCAGAUGUUUGUUCACAGCAGGAUGACGUGUGAAUACACCUGUAAAUACUUCAGCUCACCUGUGCCAUCAGCCACACCUGUGCUGGUGAUGUCAUCGAUGUGAUGGGCUUUAUUUUGGCGGGGCGUAACUCGGACAGAGAUCAGUCUCUGUGGAGGUGGAGUCUUUAAGUGCCAAGACGGACCGAAGUGAAGCACACACACACUCGGCUGAGCUCCCUUCGUCCUUCUCUAACCACAGACUAUUGCAUGUUGUGUGUUUCAGCAGCAUGACGUCGACGCUUCAGGUUUCUAACAUGCAGUGUUAAAUAAUUACCCAUCAUCCAGUGUUCCCAGGCUGUGUCCACAUCUCAGGCCUUGAUGUUUCAGUCAGAUCUGACCUUGUUGUGUUGCUGCUUCCCGUCCGUGUGUGUCAGCGCCAUGUACCUGGCUCCGGUGUGAACACAGCUCAGCUCCUGAACUGCCACACAUGCACAGAUGUAACCCAUCUGUGAGCCACGUGCACAGAAGAAUAACAACCAGGUCAUGUGUGUGACAGUCAAAUGUGCCAGUUUCCUCAGACAGGAAUUGGAUCUAGGAGCACAUAUGCAGGUAACCCAGAUCUGAUCUGAGAACACCCGACUUGGUCUGUUCACGCUGCUGUAGGAACUUGAGUUGUGAUGUGGAUGCAGAGAUUUGGACCGAGCACUUUUCUGUUUCCAUAUCAAAAUCAUAAAAAUGAUCCCAGGUUUUAAAAACAUUUUGCAGAGCUCAACCCUCAUUAAUGCUUUUAGAUGUGAUUUUAUCAUGUGACCGACUCUUUGUUAACUAACACAAAGCUCUGUUUGCCUUACGAACUGUAAAACGCUUGGCCACACACAUGAACCUGUGACUAACUGUUGUGACUUGUUACUGUGCUGGCAGAUGACAGCACUGAUGAAACCUGUAGUGGUGAUAGUGUCCCACUCUCCUGUAGCUUUAGAUUCAAACUGGGACUGAUGGUUUGUGUCAGUCCCAGUUCAGCAGCAUGCUCGCUCUCUUUGGGCUCUUUACCUGCAGCUGAAAGAAACUCUCCCUCUAAGUGAAACUAAACCUGCACACAUUAAAGAUCAGUGAUCACCAAUG